AGCCCAUGAUUUGGGCAUUUAAGUGGGACCUUCUUGAAUCUCACCCACGUUUCUUGGAUGGGCUCCUCGUCUCGUCGCUUGAAACUUUGAAUUUCAUCUCUAAGAUU